ACGGAGGGUGCAAGCGUUGUCCGGAUUUAUUGGGUUUAAAGGGUGCGUAGGCGGUUUAUUAAGUCAGUGGUGAAAGACGGUCGCUCAACGAUUGCAGUGCCAUUGAUACUGGUAGACUUGAGUGAGAUUGAGGUAGCUGGAAUGGAUAGUGUAGCGGUGAAAUGCAUAGAUAUUAUCCAGAACACCGAUUGCGAAGGCAGGUUACUAAGUCUUAACUGACGCUGAGGCACGAAAGUGUGGGGAUCAAACAGGAUUAGAUACCCUGGUAGUCCACACUGUAAACGAUGAUGACUAACUGUUGGCUUUUGGGUCAGUGGUACAGAGAAAUCGUUAAGUCAUCCACCUGGGGAGUACGCCGGCAACGGUG
rnacentral:rRNA from 1 species